AGUCAUCUGUACAAGGAGGGAUGAUCUGAUCUCUCCUCUGGUCUAGGCGCUGGUAGAUUUUACCUUAUAGAGCUGGGAGAGCUGUGAUGGGGUCUGGUUUAGUGGGAGACAGGGAAAGCCCAGGAGCGUGGACGCAGAGGUCUGUGAGUAAGAGUGCUUAGUAGGUGUCAAGAGCCGUCUGCCCUGACACUCUCACUGCCAUCGCCACAUGUCACUCUGGGCUUUUCCACAGUGUAGAUCUGACCUCGCUAGUCCCAUUUCUUCAAAUCAGAUGCCUCAGGCCCGGCUCCAGUCUCUGACGGAAACUUACAGCUCUCAGUCGGCUCUCUAAUUUCCUUCUUAACCCACAUGAGGCCGAUUAAAUUAAGCACUCUUGAAACUUGGGCUCUUGAAACAGAAAUGAUUCACAGAGCUGCGUGGUCAGAAUAGGAAAGAGGGUGGAGAACCCACUCCUCUCCUUCAGUAACUCCUAGAGACUGGUCUCCCUUGACAUAUAGGGUGUCAAAUAAAGGCUCGUGAGAUGGAGACAGAGCACGCAGGGGAACAUGGGACCUGACAGGGAGCAUCCCUGCAGGGAUCUUUGAUCUGCUCAGCGGCCCAGCUCCAGGUUCACUCUCAUCUCCUGUCCUCUAACAGUUCAAGGGUCCCCGGAGCAGCUUCGCUCUCCUGAUUUCCAUUAAAAUGUUUCCUGUGGCUUGAUGACUAAUAUCGAAGACAGAUCCCAACUCCCUAAAGAGUGUCGCCGUGGAACAACGUCAACAGCAUUACGCUCUGCAAACACCAGAUAUGUUUAACUCAAAUAUUGAAAUACAGAUGCUCUGUUUGGGUGCCGAGUGCAAAUGAAGAUGCUUCGCAGCCUGCCAGGGGUGAGAGCUAGUAAACAUUGUCAAUGGUGUUAAAUAAAACACAAACAUUUUCCCUCGGAAGAUUCCAUCAGA